UAUGGGAAGGAAGAAGGGAACGAAAGGCCAGAAGAAAGGCUGGGAUAGAAAGCCUCGUCAGAAGCAGCAAGUUGCCAAAACUUCGUCAUCAAGGAGUGAUGAUGAAGAUGUGUCAAAGAUCUUGGAGGAAACGGAUACACAGCGAGAACAAGGAGGCGUGGGGAGUUUGAACGAGUGGAACCUUUAUUAACCAACUCGUGUCAAAUUCAAGAUGCAGAAAGUUGGCAUCUUCUUACUGCCAACGUUCUUGUUCCAUUAGCAGAUUGUUUGCUGAAAUUGGAUCAUACUGACAAGUAUGCAUUUUAAUAUUUAAAAAAUUUUAAAUUGCUUUUUGUAUUGUAUGGCAGGUAUGCAAGUGCUUGUUCGAGUUUGGCGUGUCGUGAUGCGUCGCUGCCUGAUACAAGACAUCAGCAUUAUUAUCAGGAAUUGUUGAGGAUUGCUAGAGAUGGAAAAGAGCAAGUACUGCUACCCUUCGAUGCCAUAUUCAACUACCAGAGCGGGAAACCAGGCAACGAAGACGGCGUCUUUUACACAGACAGCGAAGUCACCAUCAUAAUCGAGUUCGUCAGUCUACUGUUCAAGCCAAUCACAUUCGAUCGAGUCGCACUCAGUUUGCAUUGCAUGCAUACACCAUAUCUACAGUCUCCGAUUCACAGCGGCAUUCGUCCGGGACUCAAAGACACGUCGGUUAAGGUGAAGCUGAUGCCGUCGGAUCACGAACUGAAACGCAUGCAAUGACUUGCAAAGUCAAAAGCGAACGAAAACAAUCGGAGAGACCGACAGCAUCCAGUUGAAUCAAAGUCAAGAGGGAGAGAGUCAGUCACCGUUUGCGAGUGUCAGUAUGAUCUCCAUGGAUCUUGACUUGGAUGGUAAUGCUGAUGUAUUGGAUAAUCAAGGGACAGUGGAGGGUGGCCAGUCUGCACAAGCAGUUGAGACUGACUUGGUUGUUGAGUCGAUGCUGGAGGCGACGAACGAGAUGGAGGAUGACGCGAUGAGCAAGUCGGUGGAUGUUUGUGCGAUUAGUGGGAAGGUUGAUGAUGACUUGUGGAGUCUUUCUGAUACGGACAGUGUGGAUGCGAAGCUUGUGUGGUUGGAAGCUUGUGGGUGUGAAAUGAAUCCGGGACCGAACACGCUUGCACUUCAUGGACAGGUCAUCUACUCGUCGGUGAAAUACAGAGAGUACGUCUACAGCUCUCAACAGGCAGACAAAGCAUCCCACUAUCUUCCACCCUACAGAUCAAAAUUCCCAAGGAAUUCUCUAUCCAACGUGUUCUCUCUUCGUCCAUCUCACCUUCAUCCUCCGAUGAUGACCACACACCCACAAACACCUCAGUCUCUUUGUCCAAAACCGACAACGUAAUGGUUUGCGUGCAGCUUCCAGCAGUUGGAGCGGAGAGAGACCUUGACAUUGAGCUGCAAGUGACGGCCAAUCGAGAGGCAAGCAGCAGCAGUGGACGAUGCUGUGAAGUCAAUAUGACUGCAGUGUGUCUGUGGUAUCUCCCUGUACACAGAGCUAAUCUCUCGCUUAUAUUCUACACUCCGAUUAAAUCAAUUUUCAAGCUCCUUACCGCACGAAACAGGCAGUUCCUCCAGGCAUUUAUUUCCAAUACGUUUCCGGUGGAGUUGGUGCUUCAAUCAGUAAAAAUAUUGUGUGGAAAUAUUAAGCUACAAGUGAUGCAUAGUGAGAUGGAAACGGAGCAGACGGUCAUACCUGCACAGACGACAGGGUACCUGUGGGUGACAAGAGAAGUUUUAGCAGGACAGCAGGGAUGUUGUGCUCUUAAUUAUAAAAUCGAAAGUUUUAAGAUGAGUCCAGGAACGAUUCGUUUAUUGAGCAAACGGCGACGAGGACGCUUCAUGAACUUCCGUCGCCCCUACUUUUGUAUUGUAGCUAGGGACUGUGUGUAUUGCUAGACGUGACCACCGAGAAACACCUUCAGGAGUCGAAUGCCACUUACAGUCAACUAUUCACACGUCCCGUACUACAUCAAUGUUUGUUGAUAUCAAUUUCUAUGUCAGUAAAUACCAUACCACUGUCGUUACAACGGAACUGAGUGCAUACCUAGACUGUACAUUUCAAUUGUCUUGAUCACGAUCGCAAAACGACGACUACCUAUACCAGGCCUAUAUACGUAAUCUAGACUACUAGGAAGUUUGCAUGUUUACUUCCAUGACAGCUAGGGCUUCUAGCUAGGAUUAAUCGAUCUAGCUUACAAGUAAAGAUAAAAUGACUUAGGAAAAGUAGAAAACAAGGGGACGGUAAACACGCAAAUA